GCUUCCGUAGCGCAGUAGGCAGCGCGUCAGUCUCAUAAUCUGAAGGUCGUGAGCA
rnacentral:tRNA from 1 species